rnacentral:ncRNA from 1 species
CCAACGGAGAGUUUGAUCCUGGCUCAGGACGAACGCUGGCGGCAUGCUUAACACAUGCAAGUCGAGGGAUAGCAAUAUCACUGGGCGGACGGGUGAG